rnacentral:rRNA from 1 species
UACGAAGGGGGCUAGCGUUGCUCGGAAUCACUGGGCGUAAAGCGCACGUAGGCGGCUUUCUAAGUCAGGGGUGAAAUCCUGGAGCUCAACUCCAGAACUGCCUUUGAUACUGAAGAUCUUGAGUUCGGGAGAGGUGAGUGGAACUGCGAGUGUAGAGGUGAAAUUCGUAGAUAUCGCAAGAACACCAGUGGCGAAGGCGGCUCACUGGCCCGAUACUGACGCUGAGGCACGAAAGCGUGGGGAGCAAACAGG